UACGAAGGGGGCUAGCGUUGCUCGGAAUCACUGGGCGUAAAGCGCACGUAGGCGGAUCUUUAAGUCAGAGGUGAAAUCCCAAGGCUCAACCUUGGAACUGCCUUUGAUACUGGGGAUCUUGAGUCCGGGAGAGGCGAGUGGAACUGCGAGUGUAGAGGUGAAAUUCGUAGAUAUUCGCAAGAACACCAGUGGCGAAGGCGGCUCACUGGCCCGGUACUGACGCUGAGGUGCGAAAGCGUGGGGAGCAAACAGG
rnacentral:rRNA from 1 species